CCUUGUACACACCGCCCGUCACACCACGAAAGUUAGGUGCAACCGAAGUCGGCGAUUCAACCGCAAGGAGAUAGCCGCCGAAGUUGUGACUAGUAAUUGGGGUG
rnacentral:rRNA from 1 species